UGACGGUACCUGUAGAAGAAGCCCCGGCUAACUUCGUGCCAGCAGCCGCGGUAAUACGAAGGGGGCUAGCGUUGCUCGGAAUUACUGGGCGUAAAGGGCGCGUAAGCGGCUUAGUCAGUCAGGCGUGAAAUUCCUGGGCUUAACCUGGGGUCUGCGUUUGA
rnacentral:rRNA from 1 species